CGGCACGGGUGAGUAACACGUAUCCAACCUGCCGUCUACUCUUGGACAGCCUCUGAAAGGAAGAUUAAUACAAGAUGGCAUCAUGAGUCCGCAUGUUCACAUGAUUAAAGGUAUUCCGGUAGACGAUGGGGAUGCGUUCCAUUAGAUAGUAGGCGGGGUAACGGCCCACCUAGUCUUCGAUGGAUAGGGGUUCUGAGAGGAAGGUCCCCCACAUUGGAACUGAGACACGGUCCAA
rnacentral:rRNA from 1 species